CCGACGGUGCUCAGUUUCGUAUCGUCGUCGUCGUCGUCGUAGCCAUCGUCGUUGAAGUUCAUCGGCGGGAAGGCGCUCGCACACGCGGUACAUGCGUGAGUUGCACCCUAACGUAAUCAAGCAGGCGGUGGUGGUGGAGCGGCUUUAGCAAAGCAAAAACAAAUCUAAAACAUCAGCAAAUCAUGCAUUACGAUUGGUGCAUUAAUGCAGCGGCAAUCCUCCAACCAAGGGAGCUUUUCGACUAGUGAGGCAAACAAAGGACGUUAGGAUCUUAUCUGGGACGAAAGGAGUUACGGGAGGGCGUCUCCACCGAUGCACUCAUUUCGAGGUUGUCGACACACACGCACACACAAAAGCGUGUGCUGCGGUGACCUUGCGUUCCGGCACGAUCCAUAUACGCUAGAAGAUCUCCUGCAAAUUUGCUUCCAUCUUCCACACUUCCAACGUGAGUGAUAAUUAACACAUCCUCACGGUUGGAUGGCACCACCGUUUGCAUCGGCCAGUUGGUAAGACCUUAUUGCCAAAUGAGCAAUCAUUCCGACACCGGUGUGACAUAUCAUCAUCACAACACCUUAGGCCAUCCGGUGCCGGAGGUCGAUCGAUAGCGGGGAAAUCACUCUAAUCUAAAUUUAAUGCCACUGCGCUACGGAUCUGUAUGAUGCCACACGGCUAUCCUUGGACAAGCUGCGUGGUAGACAGCGCAGCUCAAAACAUUCCAUCGUUCUUCGACCGUGAACCUUUAAUCUACAGGAAUCGUUACGAUACAAACACCGAAACGAUAGCCCCCACCCCUACCGAUCGAAUGUUUCCAAUUAUGUAUCGAUUAUUUCGCAUCGCCAAUACAAUCUGCGUUGUUGUCGUUGUUCGUUGGGAUCGUUUUUAGUUGUUGUGUUUUUUGUUGUUGUUG